UGGGGAAUAUUGGACAAUGGGCGAAAGCCUGAUCCAGCCAUGCCGCGUGUGUGAAGAAGGUCUUCGGAUUGUAAAGCACUUUAAGUUGGGAGGAAGGGCAGUAAGCGAAUACCUUGCUGUUUUGACGUUACCGACAGAAUAAGCACCGGCUAACUCUGUGCCAGCAGCCGCGGUAAUACAGAGGGUGCAAGCGUUAAUCGGAUUUACUGGGCGUAAAGCGUGCGUAGGCGGCUAAUUGAGUCGGAUGUGAAAUCCCCGAGCUUAACUUGGGAAUUGCAUUCGAUACUGGUUAGCUAGAGUGUGGGAGAGGAUGGUAGAAUUCCAGGUGUAGCGGUGAACUGCGUAGAGAUCUGGAGGAAUACCGAUGGCGAAGGCAGCCAUCUGGCCUAACACUGACGCUGAGGUACGAAAGCAUGGGGAGCAAACAGG
rnacentral:rRNA from 1 species